GCCACUUUUUCCAGCUAAAAAACAUCUCUUUCUGUGGGUACCAUCCAAAGAACAACAAGUACUUUGGGUUUAUCACUAAGCACCCUGCUGACCACCGGUUUGCCUGCCAUGUCUUUGUGUCUGAAGAUUCCACCAAAGCCCUGGCAGAGUCUGUGGGGCGUGCAUUUCAGCAGUUCUACAAGCAAUUUGUGGAAUAUACCUGUCCUACAGAAGAUAUCUACUUGGAGUAGCAGCAACCCCCCUCUCUGCAGCCCCUCAGCCCCAGAGCCCUGAGCUCAUGCUGAGCCCAAGCACCUCCGAAGGACUUUCCAGUAAGGAAAUGGCAACAUGUGACAGUGAGGACCCUGUUCUCAUCUGUGGGGCCUCCGGCAGCUCCGACCUCCAGCCUGGCCAGCACGCUGACCCUGGCAAGCUUGUGUGUUCAAAGAAGGAGAGGGCCACAGCAAGCCCUGCCUGCCAGGGAAGGUUCCCUCUCAGCUGGCCCCAGCCAACUGGUCACUGUCUUGUCACCUGGCUACUACUAUUAAAGUGCCAUUUCUUGUCUGG
rnacentral:lncRNA from 1 species